rnacentral:rRNA from 1 species
UUAUCUCUGUAGAGUCUGCAUAUCAAUAAGCGGAGGAAAAGAAACUAACAAGGAUUCCCUUAGUAACGGCGAGUGAAGCGGGAAGAGCUCAAAUUUGAAAUCUUCAAGGUUUUACCUUGACGAAUUGUAGUUUAAAGAAGUGUUUUCUGUUGGAGUUUUGGUAAAAGUUCUUUGGAAUGGGACAUCAUAGAGGGUGAGAAUCCCGUAUUUGACCAUUUCUUCCAGCUGUGUGAUACACUUUCAAAGAGUCGGAUUGUUUGGGAAUGCAGUCCAAAAUGGGUGGUAAAUUUCAUCUAAAGCUAAAUAUUGGCGAGAGACCGAUAGCGAACAAGUACCGUGAGGGAAAGAUGAAAAGAACUUUGAAAAGAGAGUUAAACAGUACGUGAAAUUGUCAAAAGGGAAGCGUUUGACACCAGUGUUGUUUUCUCGAAGAUCAAUUAAAAAUGGCCGGAUUUUGUGUUGUAUUGACUUUAUCAGCUUUCUGCACUUUUUUCUUGUCUUUUUUAAUGCACUUUUCGUUUAACAAGUCAACAUCAAUUUCUUUUGUUGUAAAAGAGUCAUUGGAAGGUGGCUUUCACUUCGGUGAAAGUGUUUAUAGCCUUUGACUUCUGCAAUCGGAGAGAUUGAGGUCUGCAGCGUAGAUCCUUCGGGGUUAGAUACAUUUGUGCUAAGCUAUAGCCUUUUCAUAGACAACAUGUUGACUAUGAUCAUCAUGUAGCUUACUCGCUUAUGCUAUUUUACCUACGCUUAGGAUGUUGAUGUGAUACUGCGAGCA